CUUUGUGUUUUUGAGGAAUGAUGCUUUAGGAAGCCAAAUUGCAGUGAGCAUAAAGUACAUCCCUUGUUGUUCAAAUGAGACACUAGCUGAUCACAGACGACCUUUUCAGCAAUUUAAGAGGCUACUAAUGGGUCUGUAAUUUGAUAGGCUGCUUCUGUGACCUGAUUUAAAAACAGGAGUCACUCCGUACAAUAGAUUUCAGUAUAAUACGCUGCCUGGCCAACAAAACAGUUACCAGCUGGAUUUAAUUAAACAAAUAGGUAAGAGUCUUCUAUUGGAUAAUUACUGCAGUGAUGAAUAUGUUUCAGCUGCAACAACUUAUUUAACCCUAGCUGAUGCAGUGAGGAGCUUCUCAUUUCUUAAACAACCAUGUUGGAAGACAUAUCCUGUGGUCAUGGAAAAGAUGAUAAUCUGUCUCAGAAUGGUCAAAUUAUUGGCCUGCAUCAAGCAAAGAAAACAACUGAGGAGAUUUCUGAAGCUACUAUAAUCAGGUUAAGAACCGUCCAAUGCAUUAUUAAAACCUGGAAGUAUAGUGGUGAACCAUCAUCUUCCAGGAACAAAUGUGGUCGGUCAUGUGGUCUGAUGAGUCCAGAUUUACCCUGUUCCAAAGUGAUGGGGGCAUCAGGGUAAGAAGAGAGGCGGAUGAAGUGAUGCACUCAUCAUGGCUAGUGCCUACAAGACUGUGGGGGUUAGGGUUAUGAUCUAGGGUUGGUCAGGUUCAGCAACAUUAUGUUCCCAAAGAAUGAGGUCAGCUGACUACCUGAAUAUACUAAAUGACCAGGUCUUUCCAUCAAUAGAGUUUUUCUUCCCUGAUGACAUGGGCAUAUUCUGAGAUGACAAUGCCAGGAUUCAUGGGGCUCACAUUGAGAAUGAGUGGUUCAGGGAACGUGAGACAUCAUUUUCACACAUGGAUUGGCCUCCACAGAUUCCAGACCUCCAGACUUUGCACAGCGGUCUGACUCUCUCAUCAUCAAUAUAAGAUCUUGGUGAAAAAUGAAUGCGUCUCUGUACAGAAAUAAAUGCUGACAUUGCAGAAGCUUAUCACAACAAUGCCACAGCAAAGGAGUGCCAUUCUCAUAGCUAAAGGCAGUCCAACAAAAUAUUAGUGUGCAACUUUUUUUUUUUUUUGGCCAGGAAGUAUAUGUUGUCAUAAUUAACAUCAGAAAAUGAGGAGAAGAGAACUGUAAAAUGAAGCAAUAUUCCAUCACAGAGUAUAAACACUGAGAAAGUUUUCAUCAAAAUGAAAUGAAACCCAGGAUGGAUGAAGCAGAUUAUCACUUUAAGCACCCAGAGGCUUAGUGCCACUAUUAUCCUCCUCUGGUGGGAUUUUGAGUGUGAAUUAUGUAACUGUAAUCCUUCAACAAAAAUCAGUUCGUGGCUGUUUUGUCCAGUGGCUUUUUCCCACUGCUCUCCUCUGUCCAGGACUCAGCUUCAAGAUGACAUGCUUGCCUCCUACGCACUACAACCAUAACCACUUAUUGAACCAACUGUAGGCAAGUGGAGUUGCUGUGACGGCAACUGAUUGAUUGACAGGUGUUGAGAUGAUGCUUGAGCUCUGAUGAGCAGCAACAGGGAGUACAAGAAGUUCAUUACCACCAUGCAAGCCCGACUUGAACAGCCCCCCUCAACAAGAGAGAGAUGAUCCCACCACUAUGCAAACUGGAAACCAACAAGCCCUGCAUGCAGUGGUGCUUGAUUACAGGAAUUAGAGCUGCAGGGAUCAGCUCACCGGUGAACAAUCACCAUGUGCCAUAAAAGAGCGGUUCAUUCCUCCACACCCUGCCCGACAUAGAUCCUGUUGGUCCUUGACCUGUCUCCUACCUGCCUUCCCCAAACCACUACCAACUGACCACCCUACAUUGGUGACACACUCACUGCCCUGAUCCUCCCCACAGCCAGCCUUCACUGCCGCUGAACCCCUACCUAUCUCCUGUCUGCUUUUCCCGACCCUGCCUGCCCUUUUUGUUAUUUCAUUGUCCUGUGAGUAUCCUUGUUUCGUUAGUCUAGCUUUAGUUUAUCCAUAUUAGAUUUCCAUGGUUUCAUCUUCUGUUAGUGUUGUUUCUAGGUUUUUUGAAUGACGUUUGGCUAGUUUUAUUUCUACCACUCUCCCUCAGUUAUCCCCCGCUUGUGUUUGUAAUUUCCCCAUUGAAUUUUGUUUCUGCCCGUU
ensembl:lncRNA